UACGGAGGGUGCAAGCGUUGUCCGGAUUUAUUGGGUUUAAAGGGUGCGUAGGUGGCGUGUUAAGUCAGUGGUGAAAGCCUGCAGCUCAACUGUAGAGGUGCCAUUGAUACUGACAUGCUUGAGUAUGGACGAGGUAAGCGGAAUUUGUGGUGUAGCGGUGAAAUGCAUAGAUACCACAAGGAACACCGAUAGCGAAGGCAGCUUACUGGACCAUAACUGACACUGAGGCACGAAAGCGUGGGGAGCGAACAGG
rnacentral:rRNA from 1 species